rnacentral:lncRNA from 1 species
AUAAUAUUGUCAGACAAGUGAAAUACCUUCCCUACUAAGAAUUUCUAAUGUGUCUAUCACUAUAGUGCACAGACACCAGCGGAACUAUCAGCAGUGCAGACAUUACAGUUGCAGCUGUUGUUUUGUUCUAUCAUCUCACCUUUUAAUAGCUUGCCUAAGGAAGGAGCGGAUGGUGCCACAGUUUGACUUUCAUGCAAGCAAGCUAUUUUGUUCAGCUGCUUAUAUGCACAUAAUAAGGCUGAAAUAUUCCUGUGUUUUUCUCUCACACACACUUUUCUUUUUUUAAAAAAAUGCAGCAUAAUCGGAAACAUCACACACUGUCCAUCAUCCUGUUAAAGUAAUCACUGCAAUGCUUGUGUUGAUAAGACACAGCGAUUUUGUUGUGAAGAAGCUUCAUUGCAACCAGAAAGACUGAAACUACAAAGGAGAGCAAGAACAAAAGACUCAUAUGAUGUUUUCUUUAAAAAUUUCAAUAACAUUGUUAUUAAGGAAAGACAGGAAGGAAUUGCCUUGUAGAUCAGACCAAGGUCCAGCUAGUCAAUCGUUCUCUUUUCAGCAGUUGUUGUAGCAAACUUUCAAACAGGCCAUUAGGAUAAUAGAAUUUUAGAGUCGGAAGGGCAGCCCUCUGCACUGCAUAAAGAUUUUGAUUUUCCUCUGCUUUUUGUUACCUGCAUCUGAUAAACUCUGGUAUACUGCCACUGGAAAAGCAAGUUCCAAUAAUUUGAGAUCAAAAUACUGGCAAGGGGCCAAUUUGGAAAUUAUAAUAAAAUACAUUUACACUUUCUAAGAAGUGGUGUGGGUGGGUCAUUUUAGAUCCUGGUGUCACUGGGAGGGCUCUUCAGAUGUCUUGCUUCACUUAGUUCAAAAUGUGGCAAACCAGGUCUGUUGCAUCUGGGCGAGCCCUUGCUUAUUCUGUCCCAAAGUCCUGCUCUAACCACUGGAAUGCACCAAUCCUGUCCCCAGCUCAUCCUUUUAUGUUGACCGUGUGUGUCUGUGUGUCUUGUGUGUGACCAAUGCCCAAAUAUAUUUCGAAGGCCUUUUGGGGGCAUAUUAAACGGGGAAGCCAAAGGUAGUUCCUUAUAAGUGCAGCUACAGCAGGAUUUCCUGCUUGGCUCAAUGUGGUUCCUGAGAGACUCGAUUGCCCUUUGCAUUUGUAAAGAGAAAACAUUGUAGCUGAGGUAGGAAGGGAAGGGAGGGGGAACGAGCUGCUUCUGUGCCAUUCUCCAGCGCAGGUUGCCAGCUUCAUGACACAGAAGAAUGAUUCUCUUCAUAAUUUUUCCAAGGACUAUGCUUACUUGGGGAGCAGGCAGCCCGAGAAGCGGUAUUUCUGGAAAAGGGAUUAGCACAAUCAGUGGGGCAUCUUGAAAUGCACCAGGGGGGCUUAAACAGCAAACGCUCCGAAACAGAAGGUUUUUCUUCCUUCCUAGCAGAAUUGUGUUGAGCAUCACAACACUAUUUUUUCUCCCAGAGAACCAGACUCCAUCUGUUUCUGGAACAGCUUAAUGUUCAUAAAGUAACAAAUUAUGUUUCACAGCGUAGCUCUUUCACAAGUUAAUGGGGCUAAGGAAAGAUUUUAUAAGAUUCUCAUGACUCCAGCGCAGACCCAGAGCACACAAAAGGAAGCAGACUGGAGAUGCUAUAAAGAUGUAAUUGUUUGGUUACAAGCUAACCGUCCCCAACCAGAAAACAACACAAAGAAAUAUACUCUACUCACAAAGUGCUAAAGUAAUAGAACCUCGAACAUCAACAGAGUCCCUACAUUCCUGCUCAUAAUUAUUGCAUUUGGAUGCUGCAAAGGUCAAGGUAGUUCCAUGUUGAUGGGGGACUCAUUUCUUCCAGGGUUGUCAGCUCAUUCCUGCAUCCUUAUACUGUGUGUUGCUUUGGGACAUAUAAGGAAGUAGAUAAUCUCUUCAGGCUCUGUUCUGGCAACCUUGCAUAUUCCCCAAGAGGCAGAUUGGAAACCAAACAAUAAUAAUCAUGGGAUAAUGGAACAUUCUUGGCUAGGCUCCAUUCACGUAAGUCUGUGCCAGCUUUUGUUAACCUUGUACCAUUCAUGUGUUCUGGACUAUAGCUCCCAUCAGCUCUACCCAACUUAGUUGUUUUAGCUGGGGCUGACGGAAGUUUUUGUUCAGACUAUCUGGAGGGUGCCAGGCUGUUGAAGGUUGAGCUACACAGAGGAAAUUUGUUACAGGGAGCUGAAAGGGAUUCAGGGCAUUCUCCUGAGCUCUGAAGUUAGGGGACUAAAGGAGACUAAGCAUAUUCUGUAUCUUGUUAUGAUUCCCACAGUUUAAGUUCCAUAGGCUAUGUACACAUUAAUGGCUCAAAACGCAGAGAGAUUUUCAAUGCAUUUCAAGCUGCAUUUACAUAUUACUGAAUACACGGGGGGGAUGCCUUCACCUGACGCACAUUACCUGUUUGGCUUCCCCGUGCCUGUAAUCCUUGCCCCAAACUCUUAUUCAUGAAGCUGUCAUCUGCACAUGUGCAACAGCUGUCUCAAAUGUACACACCUCAACGUCACUGCAAAGUGAAUGUGGCUUAUGUUUUCAGAUUAGAUGGGAUUUGAGGGAAAACACGUGAAACAGCAGUGCUUCUCAAGGAACUACAGGGUAGAUAUGGAUUGUGGCUAAUGUCCUGUGUAAACAGCUUCAAACACCAGCAGCAGGAGCAUUCUGGAACUGAGUUAACAGCCUUAGUCUGAGCAAAAUUUCACUGAGGGGAAAUCAUUGGACUGCUCCAUUGUAUUUUGCUGGCUUAUUGUUCUGCUGCAGGUGAUAAUUCUAGUAUACAAAGUGUUGGCAUAGAACAGAGAGCUUCAAGAGGAACAAAUUCAACAACAAAUAACACCAGACUGAACCUUAAACAGGGCUGUAGCUCAAGCCAGGUGGUUAGCUCUGCUUCCCUGCCCCAGGAGAAGCUGCUCUGGUCAAAGGGGCUAUGCUUAUUUCAGUAGCUCUAGACCAGGCAUGGCUAAACUUGGCCCUCCAGCAGUUUUGGGACUACAACUCCCAUCAUCCCUAGCUAACAGGACCAGUGGUCAGGGAUGGUGGGAAUUGCAGUCCCAAAAUAGCUGGAAGGCCAAGUUUGGCCAUGCCUGCUCUGGACUCUUCCAGUGGCCACACAACUUCCUCAGGUCAGAGAGAUGCUGGGAGAAUGGCCUCCAUGUGUGUUGAAGCUUCCAGGGGAGUGGAGAACAUUGUGUGCAGCACUGUUCUAUAUCAAAGCAGGGCAUAUCAGGAUGGGGUCAAAAGGAGCAAGAGAUGUAAUCAGAAGUGGCUUAGCAGGUGUGGCAGAAUCACUAUGCUAGCUAGCUGCUGUUUAUUGGGAGAGAGAGAGGUGAGGCAAGAGGAAGGUUGGUGCAAGCACUCUGGUGCAAGGUUGGUGCAAGAGCUCCAUAUUGGUUAGUAUAAUGUUUCCAUGUGCUCUACCCCCAGCAAACUCCUUCUUACCUUGCAGCCUGUUAAUUCAACUUUGGAAAUUUUGCCUACUCUACAGAAUUCACAGUAACCUUCUUUUUCUGCCAAAGGUUCUAGGAAUUCUAAACUAUGUGGGAAAAAGCAACUGCAAGGCCUAAAAGAUCCUUUGCUGCCUCUUCCCACACCUCAGGACCUUGGGGAAGGGGAAUCAGUAGCUACUCAUCUUGAUCCUGUUCAUGAGCAUUCAAGCAGAAGCUAUGUGAAUGUUUAUGAGGCCCCUAAUACCAAGAACUUGACGGUAGAUUUUGCAGUCUAAUAUCCUAUCAUCAGAAGUGGCUUUACCAAGAAGUGAAGUGAUGUGAAGCCUUGGGAGGCAGAUCAUAGUGAUACCAUUUUGCAACCUCCAGCUCAGUUUGCUCUUUAAAAGGGGGGGGGAGAGAGAAAGAAAGAAAGAAAGAGAGAGAGAGAGAGAGAGAGAGAGAGAGAGAGAGAAGGAAGGAAGGAAGGAAGGAAGGAAGGAAGGAAGGAAGGAAGG